AACGAACGCUGGCGGCAUGCCUAACACAUGCAAGUCGAACGAGACCUUCGGGUCUAGUGGCGCACGGGUGCGUAACGCGUGGGAACCUGCCCUUAGGUUCGGAAUAACUCCCCGAAAGGGGUGCUAAUACCGGAUAAUGUCUUCGGACCAAAGAUUUAUCGCCUUUGGAUGGGCCCGCGUUGGAUUAGCUAGUUGGUAGGGUAAAAGCCUACCAAGGCGACGAUCCAUAGCUGGUCUGAGAGGAUGAUCAGCCACACUGGGACUGAGACACGGCCCAGACUACUACGGGAAGCAGCAGUGGGGAAUAUUGGACAAUGGGCGAAAGCCUGAUCCAGCAAUGCCGCGUGAGUGAUGAAGGCCUUAGGGUUGUAAAGCUCUUUUACCCGGGAUGAUAAUGACAGUACCGGGAGAAUAAGCUCCGGCUAACUCCGUG
rnacentral:rRNA from 1 species